rnacentral:lncRNA from 1 species
AUAACAUCCUGGAGGUGACGCUACAGAGGAGUCUCAGUAGUCUGGGGUUCAGUUUCAUCAUAUCUGAGCUGGGUCCAGAUGAGGGCAGCAUGGUGCAUAUUAAGAGCCUUUCUUCUGGUCAGCCUGCAGGGGAUUGUGGGCUACUGAAGGAGGGAGACAUAAUCCUGGCUGUCAAUGGAGAAUCUGUCAGAGGCCUUUCCUAUGAGGUAAAGGAUAUAUUGUUUAUAUUUAGCAUUUCAAGAUCUGAUGCAUCAAAGCAGAGUGAGAGAAAAAUAACUUAAUGAAGUACUAGAUUCACUAUUUGUAUAUUUGUAUACAUAUAUUUAUUUGUACAUUAACAAUUCUGUUAAUAUAAUAUAAUUACAGACUUGUUAAUAUAUUGGUAUUUUGUAUAUUUUUAAAAGUCAUAUUUUACAAAUUACUGUUUUUACUUUAUUUUUGGUCAAAUAAAUCAAAUCAAAAUCAUUGAAAAUGUUGACUUUUUAAUAGUAAUGUAUGUCUUUCUAUUACCACAGGAAGUUCUGCAUCUCCUCCAAAAAUCUCCGUCUGAGAUCAGGCUAUCAAUCUGCAGAACUUCACAGGAUAAACAUACAGAUACUGAGACCUCUUUGGUAACAUCCUUUUCCUACAUAGUUGCAAACAACUCUAAAAUUGACAUGUUAUUUUUCAAACUCACAUCCUUUUUUGACAGGGUCAUGACACACUUCAAACCCGUGCACUGAGAUCUAGGUCUCUAGACCUGCAGAUAAGGACUGUUGCCCCAGACUUUAUUGAACUCCUCAAGAAGCGGGUGAUAGAGGUGGGUCUAAAGAAAGAAACUUCCCCAGAGAAAACCCAGGAGAUUCCACUGGCCCAACAGAAACCAGAUACUGAGCUGCUGGAUACGAAUAUAUCAGCUCCUCCACCCCUACCUCCACGUCCAUCCUCAGCUGAAGCUGGAGAACCUAAACCUCAUGCCAGAAUGGGGGAGGGGCUUGAGAGCAAAGCCCCACCCCCAACACCAAGCACUGUUAAAGUGACAACAGCCAACCUUGCACCAACUCCAGCCGCCCCUGAAACAGCAAUUGCAACCCAUCAGCAAGAGUCAAAAAAUUAUACCGUCUCAGCUUGUACCAGUCACACAACUGAAGGUGUGGAAGAGAGCAUGACAAGUUUCACAGCUAAUGGACUGACCAUCAUAGCUGAUGAGGAAUACUUGACCAUCACCACCACAGCACCCUCGCCUCUAAGCUGCAGCAUUGCUGUCUCCAAAGAACCUCCACCACCACCACCGGCCCUUUCCCCAUCACUGUUAAGCACACCUCCAUCCUACCAGCAAGCAACUCAAGCGUCAUCACCAGUGAAACCUCCUGACCAGUUUACCCUCCCCUCAGCCAGAAACAACAACGGCUGGGAUGAUGAUGAUGAAGAGGAGGAUGACGAAGAUCCCCAAAGGGUAAAGUCUGAUUGCAUUUGCCUACAGAUGUACAAGCCAUUAGAUUAG